rnacentral:rRNA from 1 species
GUUGUCGGGUCUUAAUUGACUUGGUAACGCAGCUAACGCGUGAAGUAGACCGCCUGGGGAGUACGGUCGCAAGAUUAAAACUCAAAGGAAUUGACGGGGACCCGCACAAGCGGUGGAUGAUGUGGAUUAAUUCGAUGCAACGCGAAAAACCUUACCUACCCUUGACAUGGAAGGAAUCCUUGAGAGAUUGAGGAGUGCCCGAAAGGGAACCUUUACACAGGUGCUGCAUGGCUGUCGUCAGCUCGUGUCGUGAGAUGUUGGGUUAAGUCCCGCAACGAGCGCAACCCUUGUCAUUAGUUGCUACGAAAGGGCACUCUAAUGAGACUGCCGGUGACAAACCGGAGGAAGGUGGGGAUGACGUCAAGUCCUCAUGGCCCUUAUGGGUAGGGCUUCACACGUCAUACAAUGGUACAUACAGAGGGCCGCCAACCCGCGAGGGGGAGCAAAUCCCAGAAAGUGUAUCGUAGUCCGGAUUGUAGUCUGCAACUCGACUGCAUGAAGUUGGAAUCGCUAGUAAUCGCGGAUCAGCAUGUCGCGGUGAAUACGUUCCCGGGUCUUGUACACACCGCCCGUCACACCAUGGGAGCGGGUUUUACCAGAAGUAGGUAGCUUAACCGUAAGGAGGGCGCUUACCACGGUAGGAUUCGUGACUGGGGUGAAGUCGUACAGGGAAACCCGUAAA